CACGGUGCUUCUGUCCCUUCUGUCCUCGGCCCGGGCUCACUCUGUCCUGUCUUCUGCUCACACGCUGCUUUCUGGCCGCUCUGUACACGGAGAAUUCCGCUCAGCCCCACCCACCCCUAUUCUUAUUCCAAUUUUAUUAGGCUUGCGGCGAUGGGACAGCUCCAGUGGAAAAGAGAAACGAGUCGCUGAAGGUCCCAAGUUACAUCCACAAAAAGAGCAUUUAGGUGGGCCUUGCCAGUCCAUCGGAAGCCGAAACAAGAAAAGUCAGACUUCCGCUGAGCAAAUGGGAAUGUUCCAGCAGUCUUCCUCCGUACUGUGGCUGUGUCUUUUCCCAGAGUCCUGCCCGUCAGCUUCCCCACUGGACUUCAAACUUGACAAGACUCUGCAAUCAUGUGAGCCAACUUCAUAGAUUGGAUCUCUCCCCCUUCUCUCAGUAGAAUGAACAUACAUCAUUGUAUAUAACGACCUAUAUACAUAUAACACAUUUUUUCCUAAUAAAAAAUAAUAGCAACAAG
ensembl:lncRNA